CCUACGGGAGGCAGCAGUGAGGAAUAUUGGUCAAUGGACGAGAGUCUGAACCAGCCAAGUAGCGUGAAGGAUGACUGCCCUAUGGGUUGUAAACUUCGUUUAUAAAGGAAUACAGUGAGGCACGUGUGCCUUUUUGUAUGUACUUUAUGAUUAAGGAUCGGCUAACUCCGUGCCAGCAGCCGCGGUAAUACGGAGGAUCCGACCGUUAUCCGGAUUUAUUGGGUUUAAAGGGAGCGUAGAUGGGUUGUUAAGUCAGUUGGGAAAGUUUGCGGCUCAACCGUAAGAUUGCAAUUGAUACUGGCAGUCUUGAGUACAGUAGAGGUAGGCGGAAUUCGUGGUGUAGCGGUGAAAUGCUUAGAUAUAACGAAGAACUCCGAUUGCGAAGGCAGCUUACUAAACUGCCACUGACACUGAGGCUCGAAAGUGUGGGUAGCAAACAGGAUUAGAUACCCUGGUAGUC
rnacentral:rRNA from 1 species